ensembl:lncRNA
GUGCGGUUUUGGGUCAUUUUGGUCCAUUCCCAUUCACAAAAAUGUGAACUUUUGUUUCUCCCCAAAUCCCCCAAACUCAAAACUUUGGGUUUUGCCCCAUUUUGACCCAAAAAAGUGCGAUUUUGGGUCCACCAUCGCAUCCCCAUUACCAAAAAUAGUAACUCUCCAUUUUGACCCAUUUUGACUCAAAAAAGUGCGAUUUUGGGUCAUUUUGGCCCAUUCCCAUUACCAAAAAUGUGAACUUUCAUUUCUCCCCCAAUCCCCCAAACUCAAAACUUUGGGUUUUGCCCCAUUUUGACCCAAAAAAGUACAAUUUUGGGUCCUCCAUCGCGUCCCCAUUAUCAAAAAUCACAACUUUCCAUUUUGACCCAUUUUGACCCAAAAAAGUGCGAUUUUGGGUCAUUUUGGCCCAUUCCCAUUCACAAAAAUGUGAACUUCCAUUUCUCCCCAAAUCCCCCAAACUCAAAACUUUGCGUUUUGCCCCAUUUUGACCCAAAAAAGUGCAAUUUUGGGUCCACCAUUGCGUCCCCAUUACCAAAAAUCGCAACUUUCUAUUUUGACCCAUUUUGACCCAAAAAAGUGCGGUUUUGGGUCAUUUUGGCCCAUUCCCAUUCACAAAAAUAUGAACUUUCAUUUUUCCCAAAAUCCCCCAAACUCAAAACUUUGGGUUUUGCCCCAUUUUGACCCAAAAAAGUGCAAUUUUGGGUCCACCAUUGCGUCCCCAUUACCAAAAAUCGCAACUUUCCAUCUUGACCCAUUUUGACCCAAAAAAGUGCAAUUUUGGAUCAUUUUGGCCCAUUCCCAUUACCAAAAAUGUGAACUUCCAUUUCUCCCCCAAUCCCCCAAACUCAAAACUUUGCGUUUUGCCCCAUUUUGACCCAAAAAAGUACAAUUUUGGGUCCUCCAUCGCGUCCCCAUUAUCAAAAAUCACAACUUUCCAUUUUGACCCAUUUUGACCCAAAAAAGUGCGGUUUUGGGUCAUUUUGGCCCAUUCCCAUUCACAAAAAUGUGAACUUUCAUUUCUCCCCCAAUCCCCCAAACUCAAAACUUUGGGUUUUGCCCCAUUUUGACCCAAAAAAAUGCGAUUUUGGGUCCACCAUCGCAUCCCCAUUACCAAAAAUAGUAACUCUCCAUUUUGACCCAUUUUGACUCAAAAAAGUGCGAUUUUGGGUCAUUUUGGCCCAUUCCCAUUACCAAAAAUGUGAACUUUCAUUUCUCCCCCAAUCCCCCAAACUCAAAACUUUGGGUUUUGCCCCAUUUUGACCCAAAAAAGUGCGAUUUUGGGUCAUUUUGGCCCAUUCCCAUUCACAAAAAUGUGAACUUUCAUUUCUCCCCAAAUCCCCCAAACUCAAAACUUUGGGUUUUGCCCCAUUUUGACCCAAAAAAGUGCAAUUUUGGGUCCACCAUCGCGUCCCCAUUACCAAAAAUCACAACUUUCCCUUUUGACCCAUUUUGACCCAAAAAAUGGGUCAAAAAUGACCCAACUUUUCCCUUUUUCCCCAUUUUUCCCCCCCAAAAUCCCCGCUUUUGGAGCCUCUGAUUAAAAAAAAUCAUCAUUUUGACCCAUUUUGUCCAAAAUCUUCGUUUUUUCCCCCAAAGUUUCACGCUGUUGUAAUUCCAUAUUGAACCACCGGGUGGCGCUGCGGUCCGCGUUGAAUUUUUUGGGUCAAAUUCGGCCCUUUUUGGGGUUUUUCCAUCGGGGAGAAAAGCGGUUUCGUUUUGGGUCGAAAAACGGAACUUUUGGGGGCGGUUCUGGGAACCCAUCGGAGUGAAACGGGGCCAAAAAGGGCUUUUUUGGGGUGCUGGAAAGCGAAAAA